rnacentral:lncRNA from 1 species
UGAGGCAGAAAACAAUAUCCACGUCUACGUAACAAAUAAAAGAUUGUUGAAACUGACAAAAGAUAACCAAGCAUACCAGAAGUGCCUUCCAGUUAAGAACCACCCCACAUCAGACAUCUGGAAAUUGAAGAGUAAAAUUAUAAGCACGGGAAACUCUAGCUAGAAGAGAAAAUGUAGUAGGAAAAAAUAACUAUUAUGUACUCCCUUUGCAACCCUCGAUUAACAACAUAUUAAUUGACAAUAUCAAAGAUUUUUCCGUGUCCAAAAACCAGACCAAGAUAGCCCCCACAUUAAGCUCCUAUUGCGAUGGUAUCAAAACCUAUUUUGUAUCUCCUGUCAUAGGGUGAGGGCCAAAUCAAUAUCCAAGUCUACAUAACAACAAAAUAACUAUAAUAGAAAGAGCAAGGGUAACCAAUUAUCAAACCAGAACUGCCUUCCAUUUAAGCUUGAUUAAAAACCACACAACAAUCAAGCAUCUGGAAAUUGAAGAGAAUAAAGAUAAGUAUGAGAAAGUCUAGGUGGAAGAUAAAUUUUAGUAGAAAAAAUUACUAUAAAAUACUCCCUCUGCUACCCUGGAUAAAACCUAUAUCAGAGACAGCGUGAAAGGUUUGAUCUGUGUCCAAUAACUUGACCAAGAUUAGCCCCACCUUAUGCUCCCUACUUUGAUAAAAUCAAAACUUAAAUUUUAUCUCCUGCCAUAGGAUGAGGAGAAAACAAUAUCCACGUCUACGUAGCAAACAAAAAACUGAUGAAAAAGAGAACCAAGCAUCAAACCAGAAGUGUCUUCAAGUUAAGAACCACACAACGACCAGACACCUGGGAUUGAAGAGUAUAACGAUGGAGAGUAUAACGAUAAGAACCAGAAACUCUGGGUAGAAUAGAAUAUGUAGAAGAUAAAAUACUAUUCUGUUCUCCAUCUGCCUCCCUCAAUAAACACUAUAUCAAUGCCGGCAUCAUAGAUUAGUCCAUGUCCAAAAACCCAACCAAGAUAGCCCCAACUUAGAGCUCCUACUUUGAUAGAAUUAAAACCUAUUUUGUAUCUCCUGUAACAGGGUGAGGCCCAAAACAAUAUCCAAGUCAACAUAACAACACAAAAACUACAUUUACAGAGCAAACGUAACCAAUUAUCAAACCAGCCUUCCCGUGAAGCUUGAUUAAGAACCACACAGAGAUCAGGCAUCUGCAAAUUGAUGAGAACAACAGUAAGCACGCGAUAGUCUAGGGAGAAGAUAAAAUGUUGUAAAAAAAAAUACUAUUCGAUACUCCCUCUGCCACACUCGAUAUUAACAGCGUCAAAGGUUUAUCUUCCGAUAACCAGAUUAGCCCCACCUUAAGCUCCUUCUUUUAAUACUUAAUUUUUAUCUCCUGUCAUAGGGUGAGGCAGAAAACAAUAUCCACGUCUACGUAACAAACAAAAAAUUGUUGAAACUGACAAAAGAUAACCAAGCAUCAAACCAGAAGUGCCUUCCAGUUAAGAACCACUGAACCACACAACGAAUCAUCAGACAUCUGGAGAUUGAAGAGUAUAACUAUAAGCACGGGAAACUUUAGGUAGAAGAGAAAAUGUAGUAGAAAAAAAAUACUACUCCAUGUACUCUUCCUAUUGCCACCCUUGAUUAACAAUAUACCAAUGACAGCAUCAAAGAUUUUUCCGUGCCAAAAACCAGACCAAGAUAGCCCCCACAUUAAGCUCCUAUUGUGAUAGAAUCAAAACCUAUUUUGUAUCUCCUGUCACAGAGUGAGGCCCAAAACAAUAUCGAGUCUACAUAACAACAAAAGAACUAAAAUAAAGAGAGCAAAGGUAACCAAUUAUCAAACCAGAACAGCCUUCCAGUGAAGCUAGAUUAAGAAGCUCAGAGCGAUCAAGCAUCUGAAAAUUGAUGAGAACGGUAAGCAAGGGCAAGUCUAGGUAGAGGAUAAAAUGUUGUAAAAAAAUUACUAUACUAUACUUCCUCUGCAACCCUUGAUAAAAACACAAUAUCAAUUUGUCAGCGUCAAAUGUUGGUCCGUGGCCAACAACCAGACCAAGAUUAGCACCACCAUAAGUUCCUAAUUUGAUAGAAUCAAAACAUAAUUUUUAUCUCCUGUCAUAGGGUGAGGCAGAAAACAUAAAUUCAUCAUGAUGAUCUUGAGGCUCCUCACCAGCGAUUAAUCUGUGGCCAGAGAAGAGAACAAUUGAGUAAAUUCAUAACUAUCAGCGUUUCCACCAACUGCCGAUAACCAUCAAACUAUCAGCGCGAAAGGAAAAGGACAAAAUAAACCUUCUGGCUUGAGAGAUCACGAGCUAUCCAAUCGGUUGCCCUACAGAUACAAACGAAAGUAAGCCCCGAUAACCAAUACGGCAGAGGAAAUCAUGAUCUAAAUAGACCGUCAAAACUUGAACUAUAAAAUCUGCACUCGUUGCGAAUAACUGAAUAUUAACCCAAAUCAGCAGAAGGAAUCACAAUAACCGAUCUACACAAAUCAAAUACGUCAAAGUAGAUUGAACAGAAAUCCUCCGCUAGGUCAUCUAUCCUCGCCGCCAUAUGUCAUACCAGACAGGGAAGGCUAAUGGAAAUCGCAACACAAGGAGAGAGUAACCCGAUCGAAAACACAAAACUUAAUCGCCAACGAAAUCGCACCACAAAACACAAUAACCCUAGAUAUGAAUUCAGGAGAAGAGGGCCACAAUAGAAGAAAAAUAAUAGCGAAACACGCAAAGAGGGGGGAUGGGUAGGAGAAUGUGGGGAGAUAUGGUAUAUAUAGUGAGUCAUAGAGAGACUUG